AAUAGAUACCCCGGUAGUCCACGCCGUAAACGAUGAGUGCUAAGUGUUAGGGGGUUUCCGCCCCUUAGUGCUGCAGCUAACGCAUUAAGCACUCCGCCUGGGGAGUACGGUCGCAAGACUGAAACUCAAAGGAAUUGACGGGGGCCCGCACAGGCGGUGGAGCAUGUGGUUUAAUUCGAAGCAACGCGAAGAACCUUACCAGGUCUUGACAUCCCGCUGACCGGUCUAGAGAUAGAUCUUUCCCUUCGGGGACAGCGGUGACAGGUGGUGCAUGGUUGUCGUCAGCUCGUGUCGUGAGAUGUUGGGUUAAGUCCCGCAACGAGCGCAACCCUUGAUCUUAGUUGCCAGCAUUCAGUUGGGCACUCUAAGGUGACUGCCGGUGAUAAACCGGAGGAAGGUGGGGAUGACGUCAAAUCAUCAUGCCCCUUAUGACCUGGGCUACACACGUGCUACAAUGGACGGUACAGAGGGUCGCAACCCCGCGAGGGUGAGCUAAUCCCAUAAAACCGUUCUCAGUUCGGAUUGUAGG
rnacentral:rRNA from 1 species